rnacentral:lncRNA from 1 species
GUACUGGAUUAGCAAAUAUUGGAUCAGCAGCUACUGGAUUAGCGGGUACUGGAUUAGUGGAUACUGGAUUAAUGAGUACUGGGUUAGCAGGUACUGGAUUAGCAAGUAUUGGAUUAGCAGGUACUGGAUUAGCAAAUAUUGGAUCAGCAGCUACUGGAUUAGCGGGUACUGGAUUAGUGGAUACUGGAUUAAUGAGUACUGGGUUAGCAGGUACUGGAUUAGCAGGUACUGGAUUAGCAAGUAUUGGAUUAGCAGGUACUGGAUUAGCAAGUACUGGAUUAGCAGGUACUGGAUUAGCAGGUACUGGAUUAGCAAAUAUUGGAUCAGCAGCUACUGGAUUAGCAGGUUCUGGAUUAGUGG